rnacentral:rRNA from 1 species
CCUACGGGUGGCAGCAGUGAGGAAUAUUGGUCAAUGGACGCAAGUCUGAACCAGCCAUGUCGCGUGCAGGAAGACGGCCCUAUGAGUUGUAAACUGCUUUUGUACGAGGGUAAACGCAGAUACGCGUAUCUGUUUGAAAGUAUCGUAUGAAUAAGGAUCGGCUAAUUCCGUGCCAGCAGCCGCGGUAAUACGGAGGAUUCAAGCGUUAUCCGGAUUUAUUGGGUUUAAAGGGUGCGUAGGCGGUCGGAUAAGUUAGAGGUGAAAUCCCGGGGCUCAACUUCGGAAUUGCCUCGGAUACUGUUCGGCUAGAGAGUGCUGACGGUAGGCGGAAUGUAUGGUGUAGCGGUGAAAUGCUUAGAGAUCAUACAGAACACCGAUUGCGAAGGCAGCUUACC